AGAGUUUGAUCCUGGCUCAGGACGAACGCUGGCGGCGUGCCUAAUACAUGCAAGUCGAGCGGGGAUUAUGCUUGAUCGCUUCGGUGAGACGGCAUAUAUCCUAGCGGCGGACGGGUGAGUAACGCGUGGGUAAUCUACCUCGUAGUUCGGGAUAACAGGCCGAAAGGCUUGCUAAUACCGGAUGAGUUCAUGCUUAUGCAUAUAGGCAUGAAGAAAGGGCUAGCCCGCUAUGAGAUGAGCCCGCGUCCCAUUAGCUUGUUGGUGGGGUAACGGCCUACCAAGGCAACGAUGGGUAGCCGGCCUGAGAGGGUGUACGGCCACACUGGGACUGAGACACGGCCCAGACUCCUACGGGAGGCAGCAGUGGGGAAUAUUGCGCAAUGGGGGGAACCCUGACGCAGCAACGCCGCGUGAGUGAAGAAGGCCUUCGGGUCGUAAAGCUCUGUCGAGAGGGAAGAAGUCUCUAGGGAGAAUAUCUUUAGAGGUGACGGUACCUUUUAAGGAAGCCCCGGCUAACUACGUGCCAGCAGCCGCGGUAAAACGUAGGGGGCGAGCGUUGUCCGGAAUUACUGGGCGUAAAGGGCGUGUAGGCGGCUAGGUAAGUCAGGUGUGAAAACUUUUGGCUCAACCAGGAGACUGCACCUGAAACUGCGUAGCUUGAGGGUAGGAGAGGAAAGUGGAAUUCCUAGUGUAGCGGUGAAAUGCGUAGAUAUUAGGAGGAACACCAGUGGCGAANGCGACUUUCUGGCCUAACCCUGACGCUGAGGCGCGAAAGCGUGGGGAGCAAACAGGAUUAGAUACCCUGNUAGUCCACGCCGUAAACGAUGGGUACUAGGUGUANGANGUAUCGACCCCUUCUGUGCCGCAGCAAACGCAUUAAGUACCCCGCCNGGGGAGUACGGCCGCAAGGCUGAAACUCAAAUGAAUUGACGG
rnacentral:rRNA from 1 species